rnacentral:rRNA from 1 species
GGGCCCGCACAAGCGGUGGAGCAUGUGGUUUAAUUCGAUGAUACGCGAGGAACCUUACCAGGGCUUAAAUGUAAGUUGCAUUAGUUAGAGAUAGCUAUUUCUUCGGACCACUUACAAGGUGCUGCAUGGUUGUCGUCAGCUCGUGCCGUGAGGUGUCAGGUUAAGUCCUAUAACGAGCGCAACCCCUGUUGUUAGUUGCCAGCGAGUCAUGUCGGGAACUCUAACAAGACUGCCGGUGCAAACCGUGAGGAAGGUGGGGAUGACGUCAAAUCAUCACGGCCCUUACGUCCUGGGCUACACACGUGCUACAAUGGCCGGUACAGAGAGCAGCCACUACGCGAGUAGGCGCGAAUCUUCAAAGCCGGUCUCAGUUCGGAUUGGAGUCUGCAACUCGACUCUAUGAAGCUGGAAUC